rnacentral:tmRNA from 1 species
CCCGGAAUAGCUUUCCUUUCGGGGGCUGGGCGGAAGAAGGAAAGCUGGCUGUGAAGCCCCGUUCCCAGACGUAAGCAGCGAGAUUAAAUGGGAGCUAGGUCUGAUAAGGCCGACCGGAGCCGAAUCAGAAUGACAUUAAUCCGGACUAAACAUGUAGAGCCGACAGGUCCCUGAUCUCGGACGCGGGUUCGAAUCCCGCCGCCUCCACCA